UCUGCAGCUUCUUCUCAGCCUCCUUUGUGACUCUCAACUCUUGUCGUCUUUUUUCUCCUUGCAGCUUCAAAAGGUUUGGGAUUCGUAAAUUGGUUUGGAUAUUUGAAAUGAAGUUGUAUCAAAGCAAUGGAGAUGAAUGGCGAUGAAGGCUCUUGACAGUGACAGUGAGUUCGGGGACAAUGGCGAUUUCAACAGCAAUGAGUUGAAUAUGGAGCAGGAAGAGGAUGACUUUGAUGAUGAGCACGACGGCGAGGAGAAGGAAGAAGAAUCAGAAAAUGAGGAAGAAGAUGGAGAAGAAGUUGGGGAAGAGGAAAAUGGCGAUGGGCAAAAUGAUAAUAAAGAUGCCGAGAUGGAAGAACUCGAGAAAAAAUACAUGAACCUUCGUCAUCAGGAGCAGUAAGAGACUUCUCUUCACAAUCCUUUUAUUUUUAAAGAAAGAUCUUCUUAAAGGUCAAGCAGUGAAGAACCAAAGGAGACAUCAUUUUAUUCCUUGAAAAAGUUGCAUGCUAAGAAGAGGAAGAUUGUUGACAGAAGAGCCUCUAAUAGUCGCAAGAUAAGGUAUAAUGUGUAUGAGAAGAUAGUAAAUUUCAUGGGUCCAGAGACCAUGGUCAUUUCUCCUAUGCUUCCUGACCUCAAUAAUUUGUUCGGGUUGAAGAAGUAGAAACCAGCUUCCGUAGUGUAGUAGCGAUGCAAGGCUGAAUCAGCUGUAUAGUCCUUGAAUCUCAGGCUAAGAAAUUGUCUGCUGUUAAUUUAUUUGAUAUAUUAUUCAAUCUAAUAUCUGUUGCACUGAUAUUUAUGUAAUUUACACAAUUUUUCAAUGGGAGCCGAGUCUUUAAGAUGUA